rnacentral:rRNA from 1 species
UACGAAGGGGGCUAGCGUUGCUCGGAAUCACUGGGCGUAAAGCGCACGUAGGCGGAUUGUUAAGUCAGGGGUGAAAUCCUGGAGCUCAACUCCAGAACUGCCUUUGAUACUGGCGAUCUUGAGUCCGGGAGAGGUGAGUGGAACUGCGAGUGUAGAGGUGAAAAUUCGUAGAUAUUCGCAAGAACACCAGUGGCGAAGGCGGCUCACUGGCCCGGUACUGACGCUGAGGUGCGAAAGCGUGGGGAGCAAACAGG